rnacentral:rRNA from 1 species
UACGUAGGGUCCGAGCGUUGUCCGGAAUUAUUGGGCGUAAAGGGCUCGUAGGCGGUCUGUUGCGUCGGGAGUGAAAACUUACAGCUUAACUGUGAGCGUGCUUUCGAUACGGGCAGACUUGAGGCAUUCAGGGGAGAACGGAAUUCCUGGUGUAGCGGUGAAAUGCGUAGAUAUCUGGAGGAAUACCGGUGGCGAAGGCGGCAUCCUGGACCGGCAUUGACGCUGAGGAGCGAAAGCUAGGGGAGCAAACGGG